UACGAAGGAUGCAAGCGUUAUCCGGAUUCAUUGGGUUUAAAGGGAGCGUAGGUGGACUGAUAAGUCAGUGGUGAAAUCUCUCAGCUUAACUGAGAAACUGCCAUUGAUACUGCAGGUCUAGAGUAUAGAUGACGUUGGCGGAAUAUGACAUGUAGUGGUGAAAUACUUAGAUAUGUCAUAGAACACCGAUUGCGAAGGCAGCUAACGAAACUAUAACUGACGCUGAGGCACGAAAGCGUGGGGAGCAAACGGG
rnacentral:rRNA from 1 species